rnacentral:rRNA from 1 species
UACGGAGGAGGCAAGCGUUAUCCGGAAUUAUUGGGCGUAAAGCGUCCGCAGGUGGCACUUCAUGUCUGUCGUCAAAGACUGGGGCUUAACCCUGGAAAGGCGGUGGAUACUGGCAGGCUAGAGUACGGUAGAGGAUGGUGGAAUUCCCGGUGUAGCGGUGAAAUGCGUAGAGAUCGGGAGGAACACCCGUGGCGAAGGCGGCCAUCUGGACCAGUACUGACGCUGAGGCACGAAAGCGUGGGGAGCAAACAGG